AUAGCAUUUCUGCAGUUUCUCAAAGUACUCAGUAGCAACUUGUAAAUAAAAUGGUGCUGACUGUGUAUGAGAGUUUAAAUUUCAUCAUGAAAAUGAAGUUAAGCCAGUUGUAUUGAAAGUUCUGUGCAAUUUCUCCAUUUUCUCAGUAUACUUUACAUUCAAAAGCUAUCAUAGUUUAGCUUUGUUUGGGUGAUUUCCAAACAGGUUUGUUUGGGUGAUUUCCAAAAAGGUUAUGAUUUUUAUAUCCCACUAAGACACACAUGUGAGUGUUUAUGAUAUUGUUCAAAUUCAGAAACUAAUUACCUUUAAUGAGAAGUGUUACAAGCCAUACAUUUCUCCUAAUUCAACUUUCAAUAAGAAAGAACAGGGGGAAAUGUUUGGUAUUAUUUCCUGUGAAUAGAGAAAAGCAGGAAAUUUAUUCAAAUUUAUGCCAGAAUGCCUUUUUAAAAAGCUAUUCUGUCUUUGGGAUGCUGCAUAGGCUUCAAUGAUUAUGAACAGUUUUGUUUUCAUUCAAGGGUGUUUUUAAAAUUAAAGAUCAGCUAUCACCAGUGACCAGAAAACUUUACCUUGUCCAUAGCAGUUUAUGAAUGAGAUCAAAGGUAUUCAAGAAUCUUCCUUCCAGGGCAUACUGUGUUAAGAAGUCACUUCACCCCCAGCAUAUGGUCAAUUUUUUUUUUUUUUUUUUUUUACUAUUUUCAGAGAACAAUUAACAUUGUAUACUGAUGCACAUUCACAGACACCAUGAGCGAAGCACCAAACAAUGAGAGAACUAUUUUCCCCUAAGGCUCUGUUGGCCUAACUGUGAACUUGCCAAUAUUUCAUGUCCUCUUCAUCCAUCCAUGCCGUUGCAUAGCAAUUUCCUCUACUGAAAUGCUUUUUCCAUUUGUCCUCAUGGCAAACUCCCACUUAAUGUCUCUUAUUUGAUUUCCCUGGCACCUCCCCUUAGGCAGAAAUAAUCACUCAUUUCCCUAUAUGUGCAAUACUUCUAAUACACUUUGAAGUAUUUCUAAUAUAGUUUUAUGUUAUAAUCCAUUUUAGCUAUUGGCUAACAGGCCUCUCCCCCAAGCAAGAACUUAAUAAAAACAAAGACUCGUUUAGUCGUCUUCUUCCUUGCUUUUACGUGCCUCGUUAUUUUUGAUUGAAUGCCAGACAUUGUGAGUGGAAGAACAGAAGAGACUGAAGUAAACAGUGUUGACAUCCAGAAAUGAAUACACUUCAUGUUUUCUCAGGUUAUCAUUGCAUAUGGUUGAGCCAGUCUUGUCUCUGGUUGGGUUGGGUUGGGUUUGGGCUUCACUGUUACUAUAGUUAACCUUGAGUACACCAUGAACUUCAAAUUCCUCCCAUGGUGGGCUGCUCUUGUCUUGUGCUUAGAGUAGAUCUUGCAGUGAUGAUGGAUUUUUCUUAAUGUCCCUGCUCCAUCCUCAGAUUGCAGUAGCUCAUGCACAUCUGGGCCAUUAUUGUCCUUCCCUCAGCAGUAGAAUGUGUUUGCUUGCUACCAGGUGCUAGGCUUGUGAUUAGGCCCAUAGAGUUGGGGUUGGGGGUUGGAUGCAUGAUGGGGGAUCCCUCAUUUCCCAAUUUUAGGGAGGUCUUGUGGGCCUGAGCCUUGGGUAUAAGCCUUUCUCAGCAUGACCAUCCCUCCCUGCCUCCCCUCCCCUCAUCACAGCAGCCACGCUUUGAGUAGGAGAGAGCUUUCUGCUCCUUUUUGAGCUGUGACAGAUAUCUGCUUGGUAUCAGUGCAGGAUCGGGGGCCCAGAUGAGCUCCCUGCCUCUCCUCCCCUGGGAGAAGAGAGCCUUUGCUUUUCUGUUUCCUGAAGCUUGGGUCUUUGACUCUGCCCUGGGACAGGAGGAUUUCCUUCCCCACAGCAGCUGAAAGCUUGGCUACAUAUAAGAGAAUGGUCUGGGGAAGCGGAUGGGCAUUUGUUUUGUCUGGAUGGCAGCCAGUCGCCUCCUGACACCUGUACCACUGUUCUCAUGCUUUUUCCCUACCCUCAGUCUUGCACACAAUCAUACCACUGUGACCUGCAAGACAGCAUGGAUCCUUCUUGUGUCUGGUGUCCCCAGUUAUUCUGAAUUGUCACACUAACCCACAUUCUGUCUUUGAAAAUUCAUAAAAUUAAAGCUUCUUUCUUCUUACCAGGUUUUCCCAUACCUUGCCCUUGGCAGAACAAUCUUUGUGUCCCAUCUGUCCUCAAGGGAAUUUGUCGUUCUUUGAAAUUCAGUUCACUUGGUUGCCUUGUGACUUCAGCUCUCUGAUGGGCUCUGGAAAAGUUGUGAUUUUAUAGAUUAUCUAAACUUUUUUUUCAUUGGUAAGGUGAGAGUAGUUUUUUGUGGCUUUCAGUAACCCAAGUGGAAAUGGAACUUCCCUAAUAUAAUCUCACAAGUGCCCCAACAGCCAGCAGAACAUUGUGACAGAGGAGACACUUCUUCAACUGUCUGGAGACAUUUUUUUCUCAUUCAAAAAAAUACAUAUAUCGUAUUGUGGGAGAUAACAUAUCUCUUUAAUAUUUCUCAAUUAAAGAAGUGAAAUGGUACAGAAAAAUGCCUUUUGUUCUGUGGGCUUGAUUUUUUUUUUUUUUGUGAGAGCUCAUAAAUUAAAUAAAAGAUUUCAAACUUUGCCCAAUGACUAUUAAUCCUUCGGUCCUCAUAGAAAAAUGAGCCUGUCACCAUUAAACAUGCUGGGUUAUUUUUAAGUCAGAUCUGAGCCAAUCCUUUUCACUUGCUGCCUGAAAUAAGAGUUUAGGUAAAAUAACUAUGAUGGCUUGUAACAAAAGUACUACUUGACUAUCUUUCUGUCAAUAAUCAAAAAAAAUUAUUUAAAAAUGUGCCAAAUGGGAGAAGUCACCUUCUCCUGGUCCUCUGUGUAGAUCAUGCUGGAAUGGCGAACCACAAGGCUGCCCCUGGUCAGGGAUUCGCCUGUGUUCUGGCACUUUGUAGUGAUGGGGGAGGGGAGCAGCCUAUUUGCAGUGUUGAGAAAAAUCAAUUUUCAUCUUCAAAAGAUGAAACUACCAAGCAAGAUAUUGACUUAGAAAUAAAGUGUUUCUUAAAGACUUCCCAUAUCCUAUAAAUGUCAGACCCAAACCUAAGAUUUUGGUGAUUUAAAGUUUAUGGCUAAUUUCAGACAAACAUGCAUAUAGCUCUGCCUAAAGAAAAGAACUAGUUAUAUCUAAUUUUCUUGCAGAACACUUUGCUACCUAUAUACAGCUAGUAUCAGAGCUCUCAAAACCAGUCAUCUUUUUUUUAUUGAUGGGUAUAACUUGAUCCCUUUCCCUUUAUUUUCCAUUCUAGGAUUUUUAUUCUUCUUUGUCCUGUAGAUAAAUUAUUUCCCAACUUUUAUGAUAAAGUAUAUGUCACUGAGUUUGACAGACCUUUACAGGCAGCUUCUGCAAUGUAUAAUAUCCGUAGUUAUUUAAACUUUAAUAAGGAAUGUAUUAUGAACCAGCUACGGAGACCUUUAGUUCUCUUCUGGCCUCGAAGCCUAACCAGUGUAAUAUACCGAGUGGACUUGGACAAAGAAGACAGCAUUCUCACACAUUGUGGGAAUAAAGCACAGGAGCCUCGCAGGACCUGGGCUCACCUCCCCUAGAAGGAGCACUUUGGAGAACACUGAAGAGUCUGUUGCCUCUUUGCCUGCAGUCUUAUGUUGAGUGGGUUUAUCCUGAUUUGAAGCAUACAUCUGGAUGCUAUUUUAGGAAGAGAAAGAAGAGAAGAUGGAGGUGAAAGACCAGGGUUAUUAUUUUUAAAGCAAGACUCAGUAUUACCUGAAAGGGAUUAAUUAAACUAUUGGAUCCCACUUUGCUUUACGUUGGAUAAGACUAUAAGGUAUUUUCUACUGUUCACCUGGGUGGGGGGGGGCGGUGCUUGUGAGGAAAACAGAUCAGCUAUAGGUAAACUCAAGGAAUUACUUCUCUUCCCUUGCAAUUCUGUAUUGUGUUAUGAAUUAUAACCUUACUAUGCAUAUUUGAGAAACUCCUAUUUUCCAGAAACUGCCAGAAAUAAAAGAAAUAAAGUCUGGUUCCUUGCCUUGAAAAUGCUUUUCACAAAUAAAAAAUAUCCUGAUAUUAUCAUCUUCUGUCCCCUAAAUACUGCCCACCCCUGUUUUCACCUAUUCAUCCAUUUUCCGAUAUCACCCCCAUAGAGAAUAUAAAGAAUAUUUUUGAAUAAUCUCAAUAAAUAACUACAACUUAUAUGUGCGCUUUCUUUGCCCUAGACAUUGUGCAUCUAAUUUACAUAUAUUGUAAGUUUUAUCCCUUGUGACAUUUGUUAAAACACUAAAUGAUCACAAAGUAUGAUAGGGAACUAAUUAUUGUGAAAACUGGUAAAGAGAUGGAAAGAAUCGAGCAUGUCGCCUGCCUUGUCCCUGUGAACUGCACCAGUGGGUAAUCAACUAGCAGAGGAGGGGGAUUGCUUCUUUAUAAAAACAUAUUCAUCAGCAAAGGAAAAUUAAAUUAUAGAAUUAGGGUAUCACCAUUAUGCACCCCUCGUGAGUUAAUAGAGCUAUGUGUUGAGUAUCAAGAGGGCCAGUGUCACAAAAAGACAACCAGUUGUCAUAUGCCUCCGGAUGGAAAAAAUUGUAAGACACAACCUAUGUUCUGCCCAAAGGGAUUGAACCUGAUUCUCAUCGAGCCUUGGGAUCCCAUUGCCCAUUGGCAGCAGAUACAGAGGAGCGUUGAAUGGCACCACCAGUGUGCAGGCUGGGGGCAACCCUCAGGACAAAUGACCCAGCUUCUUCAAUAGAAUGAAAUGAAAUGUAAUGAAAAGAAAGAUGGGCGGGGGCGAGGCAGGGCCGUGAGCUGAGGGAGUUGUAGGUUAAAGGAGACUUCGGAACACGUGAACAUUUUAACAUAGGCAAAUCAAAACUGAAGUUUUGAUUUUGAAAUUCUGUUCCGGUGAUAAAAAUAUAAGGAAACACAAGGAAGUGAUUUCUUUGAAAGCCAAGAUGGGGGUGACUUUUGUGGUGGAGGGAUAAGGAUUUGGACAAGAGUGCAGAGGCUUUUGAAGUGGCUGGCCAAGUUCCGUUUAACUGGGUGGUAGUUACAAGUAUUUGCUUCAUAAUAAUAAACUCGUUAAGGGAUCCAUUUGUUUGAGGUGGUUUUCUGUACCUGGUUUAUUUUACAAUAAGUAUGACAAAAGUGUUCUCUUAAAAAAAUGAUUGCACAAGGCUGACUUCCCUUAACUGUUUUCAGUACCGAUGCACCACAAGACUGACCUUGCAAAAUAUUAAAAGGUACCUCAGUGAAAGAAUUCAUUCAUCACACACACUUAUUUAUUGAUUUCCCACGAUGUGCCAGGAAUCGUUCUAGAUGCUGGAGAGUCAAAGUUGAACACAGCAGACAAAAAUCUCUCUCUCUACAGAACUUGAAAUCUAGUUGGGAAGCAAUAAAUACAAGCAUAACUUGAAGGCAUUGCAGGUUUGGUUCCAAACCACCACCAAAAAGCAAGUCAUAGGAAUGUUUUGCUUUCUGUUUACACUAUACAGUAGGCUAUUAAGUAUGCAAGAGCGUUAUUGUCUAAAAAAAAAAAAAAAAAAAAAACAAUGGACAUACCUUCAUUAAAAAAUACCUUAUUGCUGGAGUUCCCAUCAUGGCUCAGUGUAAAGAAAUCUGACUAGUAUCCAUGAGGACACAGCUUCGACCCCUGGCCUUGCUCAGUGGGUUAAGGAUCUGGCAUUGCCAUGAGCUAUGGUGUAGGUCACAGACUCAGCUCAGAUCUCCCAUUGCUGGGGCUCUGGCGUAGGCUGGCAGCUACAGCUCUGAAUUGACCCCUAGGCUGGGAACCUCCAUAUGCCUCAGGUGUGGCUCUAUAAAAGGCAAUAAAUAAGUAAAUAAAUACCUUAUUGCUGAAAAAUACUAACCAUCAUCUGACAGUGUAGGGUUGCCACAAACCUUUUAAUUUGUAAAAAUAUAAUAUCUGCGAAAUGUAAUAAAGCAAAGUGCAAUAAAAUGAGGAAUGCCUGUGAGAUAAACUACAUUGUAUUUCAGGUAGUGAUAAGUACUAAGGAAUAAGAAAUAGGAAAAAGAAAGAAAACACCAUCAGAAAGGGGUUGCAGUUUUAGACAGUGGCCAGAGGAGGACUCACAGAGAAGGCGAGUUGGAGUCAAGAUCUAAAGGGAGUGAAAUUGUGAACCACGUGAAUAGUGGGGAGAACCUUCCCGACAGGGGGAAUGGCAGGGGCAGAGUGUCUGAGAGGCCAUGCGGCCGGUGUGUUCCAGGAAUAGCAAGGAACUGGUGUGGCUGGAGCAGAGAGGAUGAGAGGGAGAGAGAGAAAGGAAGUCAGCAAGGGCCUUAUGGGGUGGGGGGGUAGAAGGCACCUGGGCUAUUCUGGAGAUGGGGAGAAGUUGUAGGAGUUUGAACAGGAGUAGGAGAUGCUCUUACGCUUUAAUAGGGUCUCUUUGGUUGAGGUAUUGAGAACAGACCAAAGAGAGACAAGAAAGAGAUUAGGAAGAACAGGAAGGGGAUUCUUGAGAAAUAAAGGAGCCUUGGUCCAGUGGGUGAUCAGUGCUUGGAUUCUGGCUAUUUUGGGAAGGCAGAAUCAAAUAGGUGAAUUAAAGGACACACCGAGGUUUGGGGCCUGAACAGCUGCACGGGUAGACGUGACAUUUCCUGAGGAUCAAUCAAUCUGAGGCUGGCGGGUGGGGCAGGGAUGGGGGUGGGGGGCUAUAUCAGGAGUUCAGUUUGGGACCAUUGCAUUUGGGACAUGCAGCUUGUGGUUCAAGGGAGCAAUCUGGGAGACAUGGGCAUGUAAAUGAGAUGAAAAGACUGGAGAUGGGAUGGAAUGACAGAGGCAAGGCAUACAUACAAAGGAGACAAGGUGCAGGCACUGAGCCCUCAGACACCCCGCUGUAAGAUGAAACAGAGCCCCCCACCCCCAAAUGAGGCUGAGAAAAGAGAAAGCAGAGGAAACCAGGAGUGUGGUGACCUGGAGGCUGGGGAAGCAAGUUUUAAGGAGGAAGGUGAUCACGGUGUCAAGUGCACUGUCACAUAAAUAAGAGGAGCACUCUGCAUUGUCCAUUGGCACUAGCAAUGGCCACUGGGGACUCUGAUAAGAGCCGUUUUAAUGGAGGUGGUGGAAGAAGGCUGGGCAGAAUGGAAAUGGCAGGAGAAAAACUGGAGACGAUAAAAACACAAUGUGUUCAAGGAAUUUCAC
rnacentral:lncRNA from 1 species